rnacentral:rRNA from 1 species
UACGUAGGGUGCAAGCGUUGUCCGGAAUUAUUGGGCGUAAAGAGCUCGUAGGCGGUUCGUCGCGUCGGCUGUGAAAACCCGGAGCUCAACUCCGGGCCUGCAGUCGAUACGGGCGGACUUGAGUGUUGCAGGGGAGACUGGAAUUCCUGGUGUAGCGGUGAAAUGCGCAGAUAUCAGGAGGAACACCGGUGGCGAAGGCGGGUCUCUGGGCCGAUAUCGACGCUGAGGAGCGAAAGCGUGGGGAGCGAACAGG